GAAAAGAACCCCGGGAGGGGAGUGAAAGAGAACCUGAAACCUUAUGUUUACAAACAGUCGAAGUUUUUCGGAACGACGGCGUACUUUUUGUAGAACGGUCCGGCGAGUUGCAGUGACAUGCGAGGUUAAGGAGUACAGCUCCGGAGCCGAAGGGAAACCAAGUCUUAACUGGGCGUCUAGUAUGUUAAUGCAGACCCGAAACCGGGUGACCUAUCCAUGGGCAGGUUGAAGUUACCGUAAAAGGUAAUGGAGGACCGAACUCACAUCUGUUGAAAAAGGUGGAGAUGACCUGUGGAUAGCGGAGAAAUUCCAAUCGAACUCGGAGAUAGCUGGUUCUCCUCGAAAUAGCUUUAGGGCUAGCCUUGAGGUAAAGUCUAAUGGAGGUAAAGCACUGAUUGGACGCGGGUCCCCAAAAGGAUACCAACUUCUAUCAAACUCAGAAUGCCAUAUAGAUAUACUCAGGAGUCAGACUAUGUGAGAUAAGUUUCAUAGUCAAAAGGGAAAGAGCCCAGACCGACAGCUAAGGUCCCAAAGUGUGUGUUAAGUGGAAAAGGAUGUUAGGUUUCUAAGACAACUAGGAUGUUGGCUCAGAAGCAGCCACUCAUUUAAAGAGUGCGUAACAGCUCACUAGUCGAGAGGUCUAGCGCCGAAAAUGUCCGGGGCUAAAACACACCACCGAAGCUACGGAAUUACCUAUGGUAAUUGGUAGAGGAGCAUUCUGUAAGGACGAAGCACAAUUGAAAGAGAGUGUGGACGAAACAGAAGAGAGAAUGCCGGAAUGAGUAGCGAGAUAUAUGUGAGAAUCAUAUAGGUCGAAUGUCUAAGGUUUCCUGGGUAAAGCUGAUCUGCUCAGGGUAAGUCGGGACCUAAGGUGAGGGCGAGAGCCGUAAUCGAUGGACAACAGGUAGAAAUUCCUGUACUACGUAUAAUCAGAACUGUGGGGACGCAGGAGGAUAGGAAAACCGGAGAAUGGAAAAAUCCGGCUAAGUACAAAGGUGUGAGCAAUAGGCAAAUCCGUUGCUAUAAGCUGAAGUACGAAUGGGAGCGAAGAAAAGUAGCGAAGUUUCUGAAUCCACACUGUCAAGAAAAGCCGCUAUUGCGUUAUACGUACCCGUACCGCAAACCGACACAGGUAGACGAGGAGAAAAUCCACAGACCGACGGGAGAAGUGUUGUUAAGGAACUCGGCAAAAUGACCCCGUAACUUAGGGAUAAGGGGAGCCAACGCAAGUUGGUCACAGAAAAGAAGCUCAAGCGACUGUUUAGCAAAAACAUAGGUCUAUGCGAAACCGUAAGGUGAUGUAUAUGGGCUGACACCUGCCCGGUGCUGGAAGGUCAAAAGGAGAGGUUAGCGUAAGCGAAGCUUUGAAUUCAAGCCCCAGUAAACGGCGGCCGUAACUAUAACGGUCCUAAGGUAGCGAAAUUCCUUGUCAGGUAAGUUCUGACCCGCACGAAAGGUGUAACGAUUUGAGCACUGUCUCGACAACACGCCCGGUGAAAUUGAAGAACCAGUGAAGAUACUGGUUACCCGCAACAGGACGGAAAGACCCCAUGGAGCUUUACUGCAGCUUAAUAUUGGGAUUCGGUAUUGUAUGUACAGGAUAGGUGGGAGACUAAGAAGCUAGCACGCCAGUGUUGGUGGAGUCGAUGGUGGGAUACCACUCUUAUAAUACUGAAUUUCUAACCUACUUCCGUGAUCCGGAAGAGGGACAUUGUUAGGCGGGCAGUUUGACUGGGGCGGUCGCCUCCGAAAGAGUA
rnacentral:rRNA from 1 species